GUAGGUGGCAAGCGUUGUCCGGAAUUAUUGGGCGUAAAGCGCGCGCAGGCGGUUCUUUAAGUCUGAUGUGUAAGCCCACGGCUCAACCGUGGAGGGUCAUUGGAAACUGGAGAACUUGAGUACAGAAGAGGAAAGCGGAAUUCCACGUGUAGCGGUGAAAUGCGUAGAGAUGUGGAGGAACACCAGUGGCGAAGGCGGCUUUCUGGUCUGUAACUGACGCUGAGGCGCGAAAGCGUGGGGAGCAAACAGGGAUUAGAUACCCUGGUAGUCCACGCCGUAAACGAUGAGUGCUAAGUGUUAGGGGGGUUUCCGCCCCCUUAGUGCUGCAGUUAACGCAUUAAGCACUCCGCCUGGGGAUACGGCCGCAAGGCUG
rnacentral:rRNA from 1 species